rnacentral:rRNA from 1 species
CAGUAGCCACGGUAAUACGAAGGGGGCUAGCGUUGUUCGGAUUUACUGGGCGUAAAGCGCACAUAGGCGUAUCGAUCAGUCAGGGGUGAAAUCCUGGAGCUCAACUCCAGAACUGCCUUUGAUACUGUCGAUCUCGAGUCCGGAAGAGGUGAGUGGAACUCCUAGUGUAGAGGUGGAAUUCGUAGAUAUUAGGAAGAACACCAGUGGCGAAGGCGGCUCACUGGUCCGGUACUGACGCUGAGGUGCGAAAGCGUGGGGAGCAAACAGGAUUAGAUACCCCGGUAGUCCCUGUCUCUUAUAC